AGUGAACGCUGGCGGUAGGCCUAACACAUGCAAGUCGAACGGCAGCACAGUAAGAGCUUGCUCUUACGGGUGGCGAGUGGCGGACGGGUGAGGAAUAUAUCGGAAUCUACUUUUUCGUGGGGGAUAACGUAGGGAAACUUACGCUAAUACCGCAUGCGACCUACGGGUGAAAGCAGGGGAUCUUCGGACCUUGCGCGAUUGAAUGAGCCGAUGUCGGAUUAGCUAGUUGGCGGGGUAAAGGCCCACCAAGGCGACGAUCCGUAGCUGGUCUGAGAGGAUGAUCAGCCACACUGGAACUGAGACACGGUCCAGACUCCUACGGGAGGCAGCAGUGGGGAAUAUUGGACAAUGGGCGCAAGCCUGAUCCAGCCAUACCGCGUGGGUGAAGAAGGCCUUCGGGUUGUAAAGCCCUUUUGUUGGGAAAGAAAAGCAGCAGGUUAAUACCCCGCUGUUCUGACGGUACCCAAAGAAUAAGCACCGGCUAACUUCGUG
rnacentral:rRNA from 1 species